rnacentral:rRNA from 1 species
AACGAACGCUGGCGGUGCGCCUAACACAUGCAAGUCGAGCGCGAAGUCCCUUCGGGGGCGAGUAGAGCGGCGGACGGGUGAGUAAUACAUGGGUAAUCUACCCCCGAGCUUGGGAUAACCCCGCGAAAGCGGGGCUAAUACCUGAUAAGACCACAUAACACAAGUUGUGUGGUAAAAGGUGGCUUGAAUUUAUUCUAGCUAUCACUUGAGGAUGAGUCCAUGGCCUAUCAGCUUGUUGGUGAGGUAAGAGCUUACCAAGGCUAUGACGGGUAGCUGGUCUGAGAGGACGACCAGCCACACUGGGACUGAGACACGGCCCAGACUCCUACGGGAGGCAGCAGUGGGGAAUAUUGGGCAAUGGGCGAAAGCCUGACCCAGCGACACCGCGUGGGUGAUGAAGGCCCUCGGGUUGUAAACUGCUUUUGUACAGAACGAAAAAGCUCUUUCUAAUACAGAGAGUCCAUGACGGUACUGUAAGAAUAAGCACCGGCUAACUACGUG